rnacentral:rRNA from 1 species
UACGUAGGGUGCAAGCGUUGUCCGGAAGUUAUUGGGACGUAAAGAGCUCGUAGGCGGUCUGUCGCGUCGGCUGACUGGAAAACUCGAGGCUCAACCUCGAGAUCGUCGGUUGAAACCGGUCUGGCUAGAGUCCGGAAGAGGAGAGUGGAAUUCCCGGUGAUAGCGGUGAAAUGCGCAGAUAUCGGGAAGAACACCCGUGGCGAAGGCGGCUCUCUGGGACGGUACGUGAACGGCUGAGACGGCGAAAGCGUGGGGAGCGAACAGG